GGGCAGUGAUGAGGCAUGAGGUACAGCUGUAGGGGCUCAUUUAAGGGGAUUUACUGCACCUGGCUAGAAGAGAAAAUUCCUGCACGUCUGGACCAUGCAGGGCUGUCUGCUUUGGAUGCUGUAUCAGACCGUGGCCUUCUCCUGAGCGGCUUUGUUCUCCUCCCCUCCUCGGUGCCGUGGCGGACAGUUUUCCUCUCCCCAUGGAAAGUUUGAAGAAAACCAGCCCUGCUCGCCUGCAUCCCCUUGCAUUGCAGUCGCUGACCCCACACGGGAUGGCGAGAGGCAGUGGGAUGCAGCAGGCGGUGCUCUGAGCACCAUGCAGCCCCGUGGGCGAUGGGAGCCUUCCCUCAUUCUUUUGGCUCAGGCUCAGGGGGGACUUUGUGGCAGUGCCACGUGCCAGGGAGGCUACUGUGAAUUGGCACCUCCAGGGCUUCCCCAGCCACGCUGGUGGUUUGGGCUGCACAGAUGAAGCUGGUUUUGGGUGUUUUCUUUCCUGUUCUGAUUUCACACUGAUGGUUGUCUAGUGCCAAACCCUACCACUUGGAGGAUGCUGGUGCUGCCACCAUUGCAUUGCUUGUGCAAAGGGGGCAUUUGGGACCGGGCGUAACAGAAGGAGACAAAUGGGCCCCAUAUUCAGUGGGAGAGUAGGAUGCAGGUUUUCUGGCUAAGGCCUGGAUU